rnacentral:rRNA from 1 species
GGUUUAAUUCGAUGAUACGCGAGGAACCUUACCCGGGCUUAAAUUGCAGAUGAAUUACGGUGAAAGCCGUAAGCCGCAAGGCAUCUGUGAAGGUGCUGCAUGGUUGUCGUCAGCUCGUGCCGUGAGGUGUCGGCUUAAGUGCCAUAACGAGCGCAACCCUUGUUGUCAGUUACUAACAGGUUCCGCUGAGGACUCUGACAAGACUGCCAUCGUAAGAUGUGA